rnacentral:snoRNA from 1 species
CCGAUAAUGCCAAAGGCUAAGCUGAUGCCAGGA